AGUUGGUCCAAGUGCAGUGAUGUUUACAAGUGAUUGAUCACAACCAGUUAUAGGUUCCUUUGUUCCUUCUCCACUCCCACUGCUUCACUUGACCAGCCUUAA
ensembl:misc_RNA Y_RNA Y RNA